rnacentral:lncRNA from 1 species
ACCGAAGUCCCGGAGAUGGCUUGUUGUUACCUUUGAGAGAAUCUUAUGAAGCAUGGAAGGAAGGAGAGAAGCCAAGUUAAAGUUCGACAUGGAGAGAUAUUUGUUUAAUCAAGUAAAUGGAGAGAUUUUCGUUUUACUUAUUUGGAGAAGGUGAUAAACCCUUUUAUAAUGGGGAUGAUCCUCUAACCGAAUACACGUAGUAUGGAAGUUCAACUAACGUGUAGAGAAAAGUAUAAACUGAGUAUUUAUUACCCCCACUUAAGGGUGAUUUGAUAGACGCCUCGAGAAGACACGAGUUCAGAAGACAUGACUUCUCAGUGCACAUGGGUUGGAUUUGAAACUUUGAAAAACUC